GACGAACGCUGGCGGCGUGCUUAGCACAUGCAAGUCGAACGGAAAGGCCCUGCUUGCCGGGUGCUCGAGUGGCGAACGGGUGAGUAACACGUGGGUGAUCUGCCCCUUACUUUGGGAUAAGCCUGGGAAACUGGGUCUAAUACUGGAUAGGACCAUGCUGUAGGUGGUGUGGUGGAAAGAUUAGUUUCGGUAAGGGAUGAGCUCGCGGCCUAUCAGCUUGUUGGUGGGGUAAUGGCCUACCAAGGCGUCGACGGGUAGCCGGCCUGAGAGGGUGGACGGCCACAUUGGGACUGAGAUACGGCCCAGACUCCUACGGGAGGCAGCAGUGGGGAAUAUUGCACAAUGGGCGCAAGCCUGAUGCAGCGACGCCGCGUGGGGGAUGACGGCCUUCGGGUUGUAAACUCCUUUCAGCCAUGACGAAGCCCUUGUGGUGACGGUAGUGGUAGAAGAAGCACCGGCUAACUACGUG
rnacentral:rRNA from 1 species